AAAGUCCGAAAAUUUGCUUUAUUAAUCACCAGAAAUCAUUUGUAAGAAUCUCUAACAAUCAAUCACUCAAAACACAAAGUCUCACAAUAUAAUGUUUAAUAUCACCGAGUCUAACCUCAAAAACUUGGUUUUUCAAACUAUUUAUAAAAAAAUAAAAACCUAAUUAAACAAGGAUUUUAAUUACUGGAAAUCUGCCAAAACGCGGCUGGGUCGACGGACCACGCGACGGACCGUCGUGGUCAUGACGAACCCUCGUGGACUCCGUCGUCCCAUACUUGGUGAAAUUCUUCUGCUGCUUUCUUCAUUCCCCUCGACAGCAAGUGUGAUGGACCGUCAUAAGCACAAUGGUCCGUCGAGGGUCUUGUUUCAAAAUACUUCAACUCUUGGAAUCUGGGUACUGGGAUCACUUCUCUGAUCUUCACGACGAACCUGCAGGACGGACCGUCAUAAUCUUCGUAACCCCACACUUGUUAGACUUCCCCAUCUUCCUUCAGCAGCUUCUCUACGCUGCCACCUACGGAGCGUCACAAGCACGACGGACCGUCAUAAGCUCCGUAGGUGGUCUCUUCUACAAUUUUUGCUCCAAAUCUCCGCGUUCAGCUUUGGACAGAUUUCUUGCAAAACAAAGAGAAAAUUAUAUUAAACUUAGCACAAACAAGGCUUUCGGACACACUAAACUUAAGGAAAAAGUAUUAAUUAUACCGUGAAACAACGGUAUAUCAACACUUAUACUUUAUUUUUACUCACACAUUGGCACAUCAGCAUAAAUUCAUCCUAAGUUAAACUAAACUGUAACUCAUCCUAACCAGUAACGACUCCUUUGACUUCUACCAUAAAAUCCAUAUACAUUAUUAUUCCAUUGUUUUCACAUAAAGUAAAAACUCCAUACCAAUGACUUAUUAGGUAUGUGACAACGACUACACACUUUACUCAAUAACUAUCUCUAUUUCGACUACACACUUUACUCAAUAAAUGUCUCUAUUUCUUAGGUUACAAUAUUUCUAAAUAUAUACUUUUAACUUUGAAAACUUCUACUACUAGUAGUUCAUAAUAUUGCAAAUCAAAUUAUCUUUCGAACAAUAACACUAACCAAGCACUGUGAAAACACACUGCCCUCUUAAAGGGGUGCACCUGAAAAAAAGUUUAGAGAAAAGAAUUGGAGUGCAUAUCUUUGUUUUUUGCUCGAACGCAUGAUUUAUAUGAAUAAUGGUGCAUUUUUUUAAAUCAAUACACUUACGUAUACUGAUGGGCUUCUCUCAAGCCUAGUUGCAGUCUCCUUGACUCCAGAAUGACUUCAUUUGCGAGUAACUCGCCGUUAAUUUUUGGGCUAUGAUAUUUGAACCAACUUGAGUAUGAAGGGUAGUCUAAUGGAUUUAAGAAAUGCAUGAUUCUGAAUAACUUUCUUAUGACACAAUUCAAUUGCGCAGUCUGGAGUACGAAAGAAUGAGAAACAUCUCCUAAAUGUGUUGCAACCUCCUAAUAAUAAGUGUAGUUCACCACAUAUCCAUAAGCUAAACUGUACAAGAGUACACAAUUUCAUAGACACCCUAAGACAAGUAAACUCUCCACUCUAAUAUCAAGUUUGUUAGGCUCUAAGUGUAUACCUCAGACAUGGCCGACACUUAAAAUCAUUGUGCAACCCAAGCAAAACUCUUGGCAUGAUGACUACAUAGUGGAAAACUAUACAUACAUGCGGAAGCCUUAUAAAGUAGACAAUAUCACUAGUGUGUUGGGAUGUUACUAAAUGGUAUAAAAAUCACUCCUCAAUUCGCCUUGUCGAUGAGGGCCAAAGCUCAAUUAAGUUUAGGAAAAUCUCGAUAAGACAGGUUAAAUCUAUGUCCUGAGUCUAGGCAAAUCUCAUACGGUGGGGCAAACCUCAACGAGGAAGCUGAGUCUAUAGAGAGGGUGUAUGUGACAACCCUGGUUAAUAUUAGAAUUCUCAUAUCAACACUACAUCGAAUAGAUGUUAGGUAUAUAUGUAAGUAGAUAAUACCAACUAGUUAUGCAUUUUAAGUCGUGUGGGCAUAGACCAAAAAUAGACAAUAACACUAGGAGGUUGAGUCGUUACAUUUGGUUGAUCAUUUAAUUAUUUGGUCAACAGGUAAUUAGGUGUAAUUAGCAUGGGGUAACUACACUCUCCAAUUGUUAGUGAGGGACUAUGAAGUGUUAUUAAUUACAUGAUACAAUUACACGCUCAUGACUUUUUAAUUAAUUUUUUUACUUUUUAUUUAAUUAUAUCUUAAAUCCUACUCCCUCUAUUCUAAUUUAUUUUACACAUUUCAGUUUACGAGAGUCAACCAAUUUAAAUUUGACCGAGAAUUUUCUCUUGAAAACUUCAUAUAUUUUAAAGUGAAAUAUAUAUUUGAUAACUACACAAAAAGUACUAUAAAUAACAAUAAUUGAUAAUUCAAAAUAUUUAAAAGAUACAUGAAAAAAUUACGGUCAAAGAUAGACUAGUUUGAAUCUUGACAUUUGAAAUGUGUCACAUAAAUUGGGAGAUAUGAAGUAUUAUUUUAAACUAGUAUACGUACCCGCAUGUUGCGCGGUUAGUUGAUAAAUGUAAUCAUAAAUAUUUAUUUAUUGAUAAUUUUAAAAUUAAACUAGUUACAAAGACAAUAUUGUUGAGAGAAUGUUAAUUGGAAAAAUGCACAAGUACCCCCUCAACUUAUGUCUAAAAUUCUAGAGACACACUUAUACUACUACUAAGGUCCUAUUACCCCCCCCCCCCCUAAACUUAUUUUAUAAGUAAUUUUCUACACCUUUUCGAUCUUUGUGGCACUAGCUUAAAAAAAAUUCAACUAGCAUUAGACCAACAAGAUAGUGUCACGUAGGCGGAAAUGGAGUAGAAAAUUAUUAAUAAAAUAAGUUCAGGCGAGUAAUAGGACCUUAGUAUAGCAUCAGUAUGUCUCUGAGAUUUCGGGCAUAGGUUGAGGGGAUACUUGUGCAUUAGCAUUUGAAAAUUUGUAUGUUAUAAUUGAAUAUUUAUGUAAAUUAAUCAAUAUAUAAGCUUAGUUAAUUGUCUAAAUUAUAAAGAUAAAUUUUAUUUUCUGUUAUCAUUGUUAUCGAAGAUAUAGAGAUAACAUUAAUAAGUUCUUUUAUUAUAAAUAAAUAAUGACUUUUUCAUUUAUAUCUACUUUUGUUUAUAAAAAAAUAAUUAAAAUUCAAAUUAUCACUAAUGUAAAACAUAAAUCAUAAUUAUCUAAGUGCAAUUAUGUCCUACAUAAUCACGGUAUUAGUAAAGAACAUUUGAAACGUACACGUCCAUAAUAUAUAUAUAUAUAUAUAUAUAUAUAUAUAUAUAUAUUCAUGUGAGAAAAAACACAUCAUUUUUCUGCCGGUUCCUACACCUACACAUACACAAUUCAUAAAUCAAACCAAUUCAUGAGUAAUUAAAAUGAGAAGAGCCCAAUUAUAAAGAAAAAAAAAUAAACAAUACACUUACCAUGAGAAACAGAGAAGAAAAGCAUGACAAAAAUAGCAACGAUGAAAAUGGAACGCCCCAUAGAUAGAUAGAUAGAUAGAUAAAUAGAUAAAAUUUCUAAUCUAGCUUGAAAAUAUGUUUCUAAACCUUUUAGGGUAUUUAAAAGAGUGAAGAAGGUUUUUUUUUAAAAAAAAUAAAUUGGUGGGCAGCUCGCUUAAAUUAGAGAACCUAGAAAACAACGAAAUCAGUAUUUAUUCACUUUGGAGACGUUCUCAGAUCUGAUAUUGACGUGUAUAAAUCAUAAUUAAUAUUUAAAAGAAUGAAGAAGGGUUUUUUUUAAAAAAAUGGUGGGGAGUUGGCGUAAAAUAGACAACCAAGAAAAUAUCGAAAUCACUAUAUAUUGACUUUGGAGACGUUCUCAGAUCUGAUAUUUUUGUUUGAUUUUUUGAAGAAAGACUGAUGUUUUACAAAGAUGGAAGAGAAAAUGAAUGAACAUAUCAGAAAUUACUAUUCUCUAACCAUGUUUUAUCAAAAAAAGAAAACAUACCUGAAGUUUUAAGUUGCAAAUUGAUUAAUGUUUGUUGAAAGAAGAGAGCUGGAAGAAAUUAAGCUUUAAAACCAUGUUUGAGUAAGUCUUUGUGGUAAGGAUGAAUUGAAAUUUUUUGUUUAAACAAAGGCUGAUGUUCUAGAAAGAUGGAAGAGAAAUGGAUCCGCAAACAUUUGCUAUUGAAA
rnacentral:lncRNA from 1 species